rnacentral:rRNA from 1 species
GAUGAACGCUGGCGGCGUGCCUAAUACAUGCAAGUCGAGCGAACAGACGAGGAGCUUGCUCCUUUGACGUUAGCGGCGGACGGGUGAGUAACACGUGGAUAACCUACCUAUAAGACUGGGAUAACUUCGGGAAACCGGAGCUAAUACCGGAUAAUAUUUUGAACCGCAUGGUUCAAAAGUGAAAGACGGUCUUGCUGUCACUUAUAGAUGGAUCCGCGCUGCAUUAGCUAGUUGGUAAGGUAACGGCUUACCAAGGCAACGAUGCAUAGCCGACCUGAGAGGGUGAUCGGCCACACUGGAACUGAGACACGGUCCAGACUCCUACGGGAGGCAGCAGUAGGGAAUCUUCCGCAAUGGGCGAAAGCCUGACGGAGCAACGCCGCGUGAGUGAUGAAGGUCUUCGGAUCGUAAAACUCUGUUAUUAGGGAAGAACAUAUGUGUAAGUAACUGUGCACAUCUUGACGGUACCUAAUCAGAAAGCCACGGCUAACUACGUGCCAGCAGCCGCGGUAAUACGUAGGUGGCAAGCGUUAUCCGGAAUUAUUGGGCGUAAAGCGCGCGUAGGCGGUUUUUUAAGUCUGAUGUGAAAGCCCACGGCUCAACCGUGGAGGGUCAUUGGAAACUGGAAAACUUGAGUGCAGAAGAGGAAAGUGGAAUUCCAUGUGUAGCGGUGAAAUGCGCAGAGAUAUGGAGGAACACCAGUGGCGAAGGCGACUUUCUGGUCUGUAACUGACGCUGAUGUGCGAAAGCGUGGGGAUCAAACAGGAUUAGAUACCCUGGUAGUCCACGCCGUAAACGAUGAGUGCUAAGUGUUAGGGGGUUUCCGCCCCUUAGUGCUGCAGCUAACGCAUUAAGCACUCCGCCUGGGGAGUACGACCGCAAGGUUGAAACUCAAAGGAAUUGACGGGGACCCGCACAAGCGGUGGAGCAUGUGGUUUAAUUCGAAGCAACGCGAAGAACCUUACCAAAUCUUGACAUCCUUUGACAACUCUAGAGAUAGAGCUUUCCCCUUCGGGGGACAAAGUGACAGGUGGUGCAUGGUUGUCGUCAGCUCGUGUCGUGAGAUGUUGGGUUAAGUCCCGCAACGAGCGCAACCCUUAAGCUUAGUUGCCAUCAUUAAGUUGGGCACUCUAAGUUGACUGCCGGUGACAAACCGGAGGAAGGUGGGGAUGACGUCAAAUCAUCAUGCCCCUUAUGAUUUGGGCUACACACGUGCUACAAUGGACAAUACAAAGGGCAGCGAAACCGCGAGGUCAAGCAAAUCCCAUAAAGUUGUUCUCAGUUCGGAUUGUAGUCUGCAACUCGACUACAUGAAGCUGGAAUCGCUAGUAAUCGUAGAUCAGCAUGCUACGGUGAAUACGUUCCCGGGUCU